AGAGAGAGACAUGCGCGCAUAUCAAUAAGCGGAGGAAAAGAAACUAACAAGGAUUCCCCUAGUAACGGCGAGUGAAGCGGGAAGAGCUCAAAUUUGAAAUCUUAAAGGGUUUCCCUUUACGAAUUGUAGUUUAAAGAAGUGUUUUCUGUUGAGGUUUUGGUAAAAGUUCUUUGGAAUAGGACAUCAUAGAGGGUGAGAAUCCCGUAUUUGACCUUUACUUUCAACUUUGUGAUACACUUUCAAAGAGUCGGAUUGUUUGGGAAUGCAGUCCAAAAUGGGUGGUAAAUUUCAUCUAAAGCUAAAUAUUGGCGAGAGACCGAUAGCGAACAAGUACCGUGAGGGAAAGAUGAAAAGAACUUUGAAAAGAGAGUUAAACAGUACGUGAAAUUGUCAAAAGGGAAGCGUUUGACACCAGUGUUGUUUUUCUGAAAAUCAAUUAAAGAACUGUUUAUGCUAAGCUGUUUAGACUUUAUCAGCUAACUGUUUAGUUUUGAGCUUUUCUUUAAUGCACUUUUCAGUUAACAAGUCAACAUCAAUUUCUUUUGCUGUAAGAAAGCUUGAGGAAGGUGGCUUGAGAUUCGUCUUAAGUGUUUAUAGCCUCUUGCCUAUGCAGUCGGAGAGAUUGAGGUCUGCAGCGUAGAUCCUUCGGGGCUAAAUGCAUUUGUGCUAAGUUAUAGCAUUUUAUAGACAACUUGUUGACUAUGAUUUGUCUUGUAGCUUACUCGCUUAUGUUAUUUUACCUACGCUUAGGAUGUUGAGCGCAUGUCUCUCUCU
rnacentral:rRNA from 1 species